rnacentral:lncRNA from 1 species
AAAAAGAAAAUUGCAGUGAAAACACACUUUUAUGUAUAUACAUAUAUACAUAUACGUAUGCAUGUGAGCACACGCAUAUGCUCAUACAUAAACGCACCCAAUAAAAAAAUGAGUUAUAAAAAAAACAACAUUAACAUUAAUAACUAUACUACUAACAAUACUAAUACUACGCUGUUGAAUAAUGGCGAAAGAAUUCAUGGUGCGCAAAUUUCAAGUUACCAUGAAGACUUAAACGCAUCCAAAAAUAGUACUGCUGAAGAAAUAGCAGAAAAGUAUUUAAGAAGUAAAUUAGAUUAUAAUUAUAAACAUAUGAACAAGAUAGAGUAUAACAGACAUAACGAAAAUCAAAUAGGUGACCAAGUGAGUAAUAAACCUUAUUAUAGUGGUACAAACAAAGAUGAGUCAGAUUAUAGAAGUGGUAUUAUAAAAGGCCAUCGUACAAGUUACGACAGUAACAAUGUAGGGGUACCAACUAUUCUUGGUGCGAUAAACAAUAAUACCAAUUAUGAUGGAUCAAAAAACAGUUAUUUUAAUAACAAAAAAGAUGAAAAAAAAGUAUUUACAAACAUAAAAAUAGACAAUAAUAAUGAUAGCAUAAUUCAUAAUAAUAGCAGAACGAAUACAUCUACUUCUUUUACCAAUAUGACUAACUUAACUGAUACUACAGAUUAUCAAAAUUCAAUGAAAACUAAUAAAGAUUAUUUUUAUAUGAAAAAUGAAUUACCUAUGUAUGAUCAGAGCUACAUAAAUAAUUUACAAAAACAAAAUAAAGAGAUAAAAAAAGGUGCGAACAAUUUUAAUGAGUUGGUAAAUAAAUACAAUAUAACAAAUUCGUCUACACGUUAUAACACUAGCACAAGUCAUAACGCUAACACACGGCAUAACACAAACGUAAGCCACGAUAUUAACCAUGCAAUACAAUACAAACAAGUAACAACAUAUGAUGAUAUAUUUGAUAAAAGAACUUUUCGAAAUUUCAUAACAAAUAAAAUAGAAGGUGGUACACAUCCUAUAGAAAAUACAAGUUGUGCUGGUACUACUGCUGGUAUAACGAACAGCAACCCAACGGAAGGGAAUGACUAUAGUGAUGAUAACCACAGUAACAUGAGCGAUAACAAUAAAAAUUUUUACAAUAACCGAAUGAAUAAGCAUUAUAUAGAUUAUUAUAAUGACGUAAAUAGUAAAAAAAAGAACCUGAUAAAACGAAAUAAGGAUUAUGUCAAUUACUUGAGUAAUAUAAAUACUACUUUAAAAAGAGAAAGCAUAACAAAAAAGGAUUUAAAAAAAAGAGCUAGUGUAGUAGACAAAUUGGAAAAAAACACCAUAAAAAAAAAUAGUAUUAAUGAAAAAUAUAGAAAUGCUGUUUUUAAUGCUAAUUAUGAAUACGAUCAGAAUGAUGAUUAUUUUAAAAAUGAGUUCCACAACAUAAGAAGGGAGAGUAACGGUAGCACAUAUCACAAUAAACGUAGGGGCAUAAGUAGAGACAUAAGUAGAGACAUAAGUAGAGACAUAAGUAGAGACAUAAGUAGAGACAUAAGUAGAGACAUAAGUAGAGACAUAAGUAGAGACAUAAGUAGAGACAUAAAUAGAGACAUAAGUAGAGACAUCAAAAAAACCGAUGUAAUUAACGUUGACAAACAACACCAAUUAGUGAUAAGCGAACAUAAUGACAGUUUACAUUUUUUUAAUAAUAAAUCAAAAACUGGUGAUAGUAUUAAUAAUAGCGUUUUCGACAUAAGUUUAUUAAAAUCUAGUUAUAAUGGUUAUAGUAAAAUAAUUGACUCCCCACUUUAUAGUAAUGAUAAUAGUGUGCAAGAUGCAUUUGGUAAAGUCAGUGUAAGUGACGGCGAUUCUUCUGAUAUACAUACAUAUAUGUAUGACCAUACAAGGAAUAAUGAUCGUGGGAGACAAUAUAUACAUAAUGUUAGUGAUAAAGUAUGUACGACUAGUUUAGAUGGAGGUAGGGAUAGUAGUAAUAGUAGUAGUAGUAGUAUUAGUAUACAUGGAGUAGUUAGUAAAGAAGGGAGAGAAAGCUAUAUUAUUAGUCCAAGCAUUCGUAAUAAUCACAGAAACAUGUAUGAAACUGUAGAGGAAGUAAAAACGGUACAAGAUAAUAAUAAAAAUUAUGUUAAUAACACAAUAGUUAAUAAUGCACUUCCUCUGUAUUUUUCAGAAAGCAAACUAAAUUAUAUAUUUAAUAAUAAAAUGGAUAACAUUAUAAAUAAUAUUGGCAAUGGUAUCAAUAAAAGUCGUAGUGGUAGCAAUAGUAGUAGUAAUAGUAGUAAUAGUAGUAAUAGUAGCAGUAUUAGUAACACUAAAGUAAUGGUAGACGUAAGUAAAAUAGCAAAAAGUAAUGUUUCAAAUAAUAAUAAUAUAUAUAUGUUUAAAAAUAACACAAACAGAAUACAUAAUGAUAGUAUGAAUG